CCUACGGGAGGCAGCAGUGGGGAAUUUUGGACAAUGGGCGCAAGCCUGAUCCAGCCAUGCCGCGUGCAGGAUGAAGGCCUUCGGGUUGUAAACUGCUUUUGUACGGAACGAAAAGACUCCUUCUAAUAAAGGGGGUCCAUGACGGUACCGUAAGAAUAAGCACCGGCUAACUACGUGCCAGCAGCCGCGGUAAUACGUAGGGUGCGAGCGUUAAUCGGAAUUACUGGGCGUAAAGCGUGCGCAGGCGGUUAUAUAAGACAGAUGUGAAAUCCCCGGGCUCAACCUGGGAACUGCAUUUGUGACUGUAUAGCUAGAGUACGGUAGAGGGGGAUGGAAUUCCGCGUGUAGCAGUGAAAUGCGUAGAUAUGCGGAGGAACACCGAUGGCGAAGGCAAUCCCCUGGACCUGUACUGACGCUCAUGCACGAAAGCGUGGGGAGCAAACAGGAUUAGAUACCCUGGUAGUCCACGCCCUAAACGAUGUCAACUGGUUGUUGGGUCUUCACUGACUCAGUAACGAAGCUAACGCGUGAAGUUGACCGCCUGGGGAGUACGGCCGCAAGGUUGAAACUCAAAUGAAUUGACGG
rnacentral:rRNA from 1 species